rnacentral:rRNA from 1 species
CCUUCGGGUCAGUGGCGGACGGGUGAGUAACGCGUGGGAACCUGCCCUGGGGUGUGGAAUAACCGCUGGAAACGGCGGCUAAUACCGCAUGGUCCCUGAGGGGUAAAGGCGCAAGUCGCCCUGGGAGGGGCCCGCGUCCGAUUAGCUUGUUGGUGGGGUAAUGGCCUACCAAGGCGACGAUUGGUAGCUGGUCUGAGAGGAUGAUCAUCCACACUGGGACUGAGACACGGCCCACACUCCUACGGGAGGCAGCAGUGGGGAAUAUUGGACAAUGGGCGAAAGCCUGAUCCAGCAAUGCCGCGUGAGUGAUGAAGGCCUUAGGGUUGUAAAGCUCUUUCGCCCGAGACGAUGAUGACGGUAUCGGGAGAAGAAGCCCCGGCUAAUUCCGUGCCAGCAGCCGCGGUAAUACGGAAGGGGCUAGCGUUGUUCGGAUUUACUGGG